GGCUUAGAGUUUGAUCAUGGCUCAGGAUGAACGCUGGCGGCGUGCUUAACACAUGCAAGUCGAGCGAAGCACUCCAUCGGAUAUCUUCGGAUUGAAGAUGGUUUGACUGAGCGGCGGACGGGUGAGUAACGCGUGGGUGACCUGCCCCAUACCGGGGGAUAACAGCUGGAAACGGCUGCUAAUACCGCAUAAGCGCACGGAGCUGCAUGGCUCAGUGUGAAAAACUCCGGUGGUAUGGGAUGGGCCCGCGUCUGAUUAGGCAGUUGGCGGGGUAAAGGCCCACCAAACCGACGAUCAGUAGCCGACCUGAGAGGGCGACCGGCCACAUUGGGACUGAGACACGGCCCAAACUCCUACGGGAGGCAGCAGUGGGGAAUAUUGCACAAUGGGGGAAACCCUGAUGCAGCGACGCCGCGUGAGCGAAGAAGUAUUUCGGUAUGUAAAGCUCUAUCAGCAGGGAAGAUCGUGACGGUACCUGACUAAGAAGCCCCGGCUAACUACGUGCCAGCAGCCGCGGUAAUACGUAGGGGGCAAGCGUUAUCCGGAUUUACUGGGUGUAAAGGGAGCGUAGACGGCGAAGCAAGUCUGGUGUGAAACCCCGGGGCUCAACCUCGGGCCUGCAUUGGAAACUGUUUUGCUUGAGUGCCGGAGAGGUAAGCG
rnacentral:rRNA from 1 species